rnacentral:tRNA from 1 species
GGAUGUGGCUCAGUGGUAGAGAAUUUGCUUAGCGCCUGAGGCCCUGGGUUCAAUCCCCAGCAUCAAACA